AUGACAACUGAAAACGGAAUCUUAUUUUUAGGUACAGGUUCUUCUUCGUCGACACCUAAACUAUCCCACAUUUUUAAAAAUUCACGAAUCCUAUUAUUAGAGGAUAAAAAAAUAGAAAACACGAGCGAAGAUUUAAGCAAACAAGAUAAUGAAUUGAUAGAUGAAUUUGUAGAAGGAUUAGUAUCAAAAGGUUUAGAAAGUAUAGACCAGCUUAAUGAUAUGUAUUUAAAAAAAAUGUACCCUACUUGCGGUGAACUUAAAUGUUAUACAUGUUUUGAUGCUUUGAGAAAUAAUUCUAAAAACAAAAGAAAUAAUAUAUCUGUUUUGUUAAAGUCUAAUAAUUCUUCUGUACUAAUAGAUGUCGGUAAAACAUUUAGAGAUAGCCUUUUAUAUAAUAGGGACAGGAUCAACUUCUGUGUAAAAACAAAAGCGAACACACAUACAUACAUACAUACAUAUAUAUACAUAUACAUAUACAUAUAUAAACAUAUAACUUUUUUUUUGAACAUCAUUUUUUUUGAACACAAUUUUUUUUGCAAUAUUUUUUUUAUAAAUGUUUACAUGUGUCCAAUUUGUGCACCCAUUUUUUGUACCCAUUUUUUGUACCCAUUUUUUGUACCCAUUUNNNNNNNNNNCCCAUUUUUUGUACCCAUUUUUUGUACCCAUUUUUUGUACCCAUUUUGUAUGGCGAUUUUUUUCUUCAGGAAAUUAACAUAGACUUAGUAUUAAUUAGUCACAGCCAUACAGAUGCAUUAAAUGGUAUUGAUGAUUUAAGGGACUUGCAAGAGUAUAAGCGAGUUUCACAUGAUGAUGUAUUUUAUUAUACUUCGGACAAACCCAUAGAUGUUUAUGUAAAUGAUGUGUCAUAUGAGCGAUUAAAAAAUGGAUAUGAUUAUCUAGUAAGAAAAAGAUAUGAAAAUAUAUUUUAUUCAAAAAUAGCUGCUCUAAAUAUAUUAGUGAUAAAAGAUAAAAUAUAUAAUGAAUUUACUAUGGAAGAUGAGUACUUAAGCCAAAGAGAAAAAAAAGAUGAUUUAGUUAGUAUAGACGGGAUUAGCAUAUGUAAAAACAACAUUAAUAGUAGCAAUUUUAUUAGCAGUGAUGACACCACUGACAAUACUGUUAAUAGUAUUAUCGAUGAAACAAAAAAUCAGAACAACAUAUGUAAUGAUGAAAAAAAAAAAAAAUACAUAAAUAUACAUACAUAUGAUAAAAAAGAUGAGCAUGGUUUUAUAUAUACUCAAUUCGAUAAAAAUAAAAAUAUAAGGUUCAUACCA
rnacentral:lncRNA from 1 species